CACGUAGUUAGCCGGGGCUUUCUUCUCAAGUACCGUCACUCCCGGAGCAGUGACUCUCCGGGCCGUUCUUCCUUGGCAACAGAGCUUUACGAUCCGAAGACCUUCCUCACUCACGCGGCGUUGCUCCGUCAGGCUUUCGCCCAUUGCGGAAGAUUCCCUACUGCUGCCUCCCGUAGGAGUCUGGGCCGUGUCUCAGUCCCAGUGUGGCCGAUCACCCUCUCAGGUCGGCUACGCAUCGUCGCCUUGGUAGGCCGUUACCCUGCCAACUAGCUAAUGCGCCGCAGGCCCAUCCGUAAGCCGCAGAUUGCUCCGCGUUUCUUGACUCCCCAUGCGAAGAAGCCACCUAUCCGGUAUUAGCUACCGUUUCCGGUAGUUAUCCCGGUCUUCCGGGCAGGUUGCCUACGUGUUACUCACCCGUCCGCCGCUCCGGUUGAUUCCCCGAAGGAAACCAUCCAGCGCUCGACUUGCAUGUAUUAGGCACGCCGCCAGCGUCGUCUCGUAGCACGGAGUCAACUAC
rnacentral:rRNA from 1 species